CCUUGCCACACUCAUCACAUUUGUAAGGUUUCUCUCCAGUAUGAACUGUCUGAUGACUUAAAAGCUUUGACUUUACACAAAAGGCCUUGCCACACUCAUCACAUUUGUAAGGUUUCUCUCCAGUAUGAACUAUCUGAUGACCAGCAAAGUUUGAAUUUCCACCAAAGGCUUUAUCACAUAUAUAUCACAUUUAAAUAAUUUCUUUCCUGUAUGAAUUUUCUUAUGUCUCCUGAGGACUGAGCUGUGAGUAAAGG